GAAACUUAAAGGAAGUUGACGGGGACCCGCACAAGCGUGGAUGAUGUGGUUAAUUCGAUGCAACGCGAAAACCUUACCACCUUUGACAUGUACGGAAUCCUUUAGAGAUAGAGGAGUGCUCGAAAGAGAGCCGUAACACAGGUGCUGCAUGGCUGUCGUCAGCUCGUGUCGUGAGAUGUUGGGUUAAGUCCCGCAACGAGCGCAACCCUUGUCAUUAGUUGCUACAUUCAGUUGGGCACUCUAAUGAGACUGCCGGUGACAAACCGGAGGAAGUGGGGAUGACGUCAAGUCCUCAUGGCCCUUAUAGGUGGGGCUACACACGUCAUACAAUGGAUGGUACAAAGGGUCGCCAACCCGCGAGGGGGAGCCAAUCCCAUAAAGCCAUUCGUAGUCCGGAUCGCAGUCUGCAACUCGACUGCGUGAAGUCGGAAUCGCUAGUAAUCGUGGAUCAGAAUGUCACGGUGAAUACGUUCCCGGGUCUU
rnacentral:rRNA from 1 species